CCUACGGGCGGCAGCAGUGGGGAAUAUUGGACAAUGGGCGAAAGCCUGAUCCAGCCAUGCCGCGUGUGUGAAGAAGGCCUUCGGGUUGUAAAGCACUUUCAGUGGGGAAGAAAGCCUUGGGGCUAAUACCCUCGAGGAAGGACAUCACCCACAGAAGAAGCACCGGCUAACUCCGUGCCAGCAGCCGCGGUAAUACGGAGGGUGCGAGCGUUAAUCGGGAUUACUGGGCGUAAAGCGCGCGUAGGCGGUCUGAUAAGCCGGUUGUGAAAGCCCCGGGCUCAACCUGGGAACGGCAUCCGGAACUGUCAGGCUAGAGUGCAGGAGAGGAAGGUAGAAUUCCCGGUGUAGCGGUGAAAUGCGUAGAGAUCGGGAGGAAUACCAGUGGCGAAGGCGGCCUUCUGGACUGACACUGACGCUGAGGUGCGAAAGCGUGGGUAGCAAACAGGAUUAGAUACCCGGGUAGUC
rnacentral:rRNA from 1 species